GCAGGGGUGAGGGAUCUCACCAAAUGAAAGGAAUUACUUGGAAAAAAAAUAGAUCAGUGGGGCCUAGCUAAUGGCCAAUUGUUUUCUGUGCGAGAGCUUUGUAUCAACGAACCAAUCCGUGCCCUGAUCUGCCUUAAACAAAACAUGAAAUCCCAAUGACUGGAACAGAUACCUGGUAUGUCAGUUAAUUCUUAAUUAUCAUUCUACCCCCUGUUAAUAUGAGUGGACCGGCUCCUCAACAGGCAAUGGGGGGUUGAGGUAUUUUUUAAGGAUUAUUUCAAUUACCUGUCUUAAAUUCACAUUCAGAUCAGAAAUUGAAACUUUUUGAAAACAGGUAAACUUUUUAGAAUUAAAUAAUUUUUUGCGUGUUUGCUUCUGAGCCAAUUAGGUCAUUUGGGUGCCAUGUGCCCUCAGUUUUAACCCUACAUGUUUUCCUUGCAGGGCUGUCACUAGGGGCACCUCCAUGAAAUAGUAGAGUACUGCAAAUUUAGUCAGAUGGUUUUAGAGAGCAGUUUGACGUUUUUGCCGUGCAUGUGUAGUAGCCUAUGGAAACACAUUGGAUUGACUGAGAUCAUCAAUGUUGAUCAAUAAUGACAAUUAGCAAAAAGAAUUGUAGCAUUCUGGGUGCAUUGGUUUGAAAAAACCCAGCGCAACCUUAUAUGUAUUGUAGAGCACAACCGAAUGAUAACGAAUAAUAUUACACAAGGGUCCCCUAUAUAUUACGGAGACUUAGGAAUUGCAAUGAAAAGUCCUGUAAUAGGAUUCAUGCAUUUUUUAGAGAGUAUUAAAAAUCUCACAUCUAUCUGAAUUCUAUGCUAUAUUAUGGAGAUGCACAAUUUGCAAGGCUCGUUUGAUAAAUUACUUCUAUAUGGUAAGACGAGAUUGGUUACCUUAGAGAAACUACUGAGGAGGGCUGUACAAGAAAUGAUGUGGUUGCUGACUGACUGUCUCCCUGAGGUCAGUGCAAUACCAAAGUAUUCCUUGAUGAUCUGACACAGGUUCAGAGACAGGGAACGUUUGUCCCUGCAGAGCUCUAGUCUUACCCCCGAUUUUAGGAACAUAGGAACAGAUCAGAAACCCAGGCCACUUUGAUGAUGGUGGAUAAACAAAAAAUAGAUGAAGAAUUCUUGUCACUUCGGGAAUGCCAUUUAAAGGAUGACUAUAGGGUCCCCCCGACCACUUCAGCUCAAUGAAGUGGUCUGGGUGUCAGGUCCAUCUAGGGUUAACCCUGCAGCUGUAGGAGAGUCCCCAGCACUGAGGGAGCCCGGUGCUGGAGAAAGGUAAGUGUUUAACCCCUUGAUCUAGAUCAUUGCUGGAACUUCCUUGAAGCCUAGUUGGGACUGUACCAUGAGUGCCAAAACAUUAUGGUUUAGUAGUGUCUACAGUUUGGUCAUCUCCUGGAUCUACAGUGAGGAAGAAGGGAUCUGUUCUGUUGGCUGCACAGAUCUGUCUUCUUUCUCAUUAAAAAACUGCAGAAAUGGCUGCAAUGAAUGGCAGGGAGCCAAGAUGGAGGAACUAAAUUCCAGGAAAAAAAAAACCAAAUACAGCAAAAAAAUAUUUACAUUUUUUAGAUCUCACAAAAACAUUUUAAAGAUUGACAAAGGUAAACAUAAUGUUAAACAUCCCAGUAUGGGACUAUUUCCCUUUAACAAGCCCUGUAUUAUGUGGAAUUUAGACGUGUGCAAUUUGUUUCGUUCCGAAUGCAAAUUCUGACAAAUUCCAGAAAUUCGGACGCUUCCGAAUGUCUGAAGUGCUGAAUUUCGGAAUGCCGAUCCGAACCAAAUUUAUGAAUUUCGGAAUGCUGAACCGAAUUGCUGAAGUGCCGAAUAGCCGAAAGUGCUGAAUUGCUUCAGAUUUCUAAAAAGUGGCAAAAGAGGAGAGGGUUGGGGUUUGUGGUUGGGGUAGAGGUAGGGGUAGGGUUAAGUUUAGGGGUAGGGUUAAGGGUUGUGGCAGAGUUAGUGGUUGGGAUAGGGGUAAGGUUAGUGGUUGGAGUAGGGUGAGGGUAGGGGAAGGGUAACCCUAUUCCUAACCCUACUCCUAACCCUAACCCUGCUCCUAACCCUACCAUAACCCAACCUUAAACCAACCCUAACCCUACCCCAACCCCACCCCUAAACCAACCCUAACCUCACCCCUAACCCUACACUUACCCGAAGUGCCGAACCGAAGUGCAGAAGUCCCGAAGUGCUGAAGUCCAGAAUUUCGCAAUGCCGAACCGAACCGAAUAUUUUUCUCAUGUACAUCCCUAGUGGAAUUAACCAUUUAAUCCUUUUCUUUCAUCCAACCACCAGAAGGAGCAGGGAGAAGGAGCUUUCUCCUCCCUAUUCACUUAACUUUUAAUGGGACACUCUAGGCACUAUAACCACAUCAUCUCAUUGAAGUGGUCCCCUGGCUCCGUCACAUUGUGCAGAAAAAACUUUUUUUUAAAUUCUUUAUUUUUGCUGUGCAAAAGGGUUACAAAGAAUCUUGCAAUGCCACAACAGCAAGCACAAGAAAAUCAAUUAAUAGAGGAAUACAACAUACAUCAAACCAUAGACAUAAUAGAUCUGAAUGUUACUUGGCAUUGUGAUAGUGCAGCACAUAUUUUUGGUAAUGUAAACAUUAGGCUAGGUAGACAUGUCUAGGAAACAUAGCCAUAUCUAAGUAAAAAAUCACGAAUAACAGUCUAGACAAGGUGUUUACUAAGCACUUUUAAAUGUGUGAAGGAAAUGCUUGGUCAACUAUGCUUAUUAGAAAACAAGUGAAUAUAUCAUGCUAGCAGUAUAUAACUAGCUUAAUCACAGUACCCUGGAUGUGUAAGGAGUCUCCCUAGGUCAUUCGGCCUAUGCCACUUAGAGUCUAAAUUAGAUAGGACAACUCGGUACCGGACUCUGCUUCCAUCCCCUGCACCUUCCUCAUUCGGCCCAGGAAAAGGAGAGGACUGUGACGAUCCACCAGUGCUGUGUAUCUGGCAGCAUAUGGGGGAAAGCUCCGGUUCAGACCGGUCUCUCUGAGGGCGAGGGGGGCCAGAUCUCCGCAGUCGAUGUGAGUGCUGAUCUGGCAUGUGUAGGUGCUUUCCUCCCUUCUCCUCAGCUCUCCGUUUGUCUCCCGUGUGUGCACAGGAGCUGUAUAGCUGUGUAGCUUUCCAGCUCACCGCUUACCUGCUCGUUGCCUGUCUUGUUUUGCGGUGCGUGGAUGCAGCCUCCGCCAUCUCAGGUGUAGCGGGCCUCUGGCGAGUGCUGCUGGGCUGCUUGAUGUGUGACAGGCUGGUUGUGUGGGAGUCAUCACGGUCCUGUGUAUUAACUGCUUCGCCUUUAGCUUCUUCCAUAACGAAGAGGACGCUGGAGAGUAGUGGUCAUCACUCCUCCCUGGGUGAGGAUAUCUGCAGCGUCCGCCAUCUUAGGGAUACCUUUGAUGGUAGUGUUGGCUUCUGAAGUACUGCUGCUACGCGGUGGGUCAUGAGAGCCUUUUUGUUACUUUGGCUACUAGAUUGCUUGAGAGUGCUGUAGGGCAUAUUCCCCGAUCUCUCUGUCAUGUCGAAAGACUAAGAGUAAGUAUCAUGUUUAGAAAUAGUUGCUGAAUUAGGUCAGAAAUUCAGUGUGUCUCAGGGAGCUCCCCAGAAACACGUUUAGUCGCCAUGCUGGUCAGGCCCCGCCCCGGAGAAAACUAUUUUUUGAUAAUUUUGACACUAAAAGAGUUUCCAGGUUGCCAGAGUUCUGGCCAUCUCUGCUAUGAUGGGUGGUGAUGAUAGAUUCUUCAGAUGAGCAUUCUGAGCCUGCCACUGCCGCCCGUUACUGGUAUAAAUUGAUAUGGCUAAUGUGGAGUAAUACUUUAUCUUAGCCAUAACUCCAGUAGGUGGCACAGCCAUAGACACUCAAGAAACCAUCAUUCAUUAUCAAGCCAUAUGGGACCAGAUUGACUCUGAACAGUGGGAACAUGCCAGGGGAUCUGUAGGAUCCAAACCUGUUCAACUAGAUGAAGUGGUUAUGGUGUUAAGAUUGCACCUUUUAGGUAGAAACACUUAUUAUUGUUUAAAAAUGGCAAUUCAUUUAAUACAAAUAGUAGAGGAUAUCAAAGAGUACUUAAAAACAACGCAUAGACAUAACAAAAUAACUAACCCAUUAAUGCAAGCUGGGCAUCAGUAAGCAAUUCAUUAGAAAUCAGAUUGUGCCUGAAACCUCACUAUAAGUUUCAUUAGGUUCCCAUUCAUUUUUCACAUUCUUAUUUGUUUGUUUUUUUAAAAGGUGACCAUUUUCUUCGCGAAGGAAACAAUCUGCGCCAUAUGUAUCCAAUAGACAUAAUAUAAUUGUUUGCAUAUUUACAUCUAAAUCAAGCAAAAAGCAAAGAAAUCUUUAAAAAGGGAAAUUGAGAACAUGCCCCAUGUAUUUGCCACAGGGUCAAAACAAAAUAAGUAAAUAAAUAAAUAGGUUCCAUACAGAUCUCAUGUGUCUAUGUCUCUUAUGAAUGGGUAACAGCAAGCAAGCUCUAACCUUUCCUCUGUUUAUGAUGAGUUUGGGGUUAAUGUUCUGCCUGAUGUCCACAUUUCUUUGUUCUGUCGCCUCGAUAUUUAUACCGGAAUAAAAAAUGGUGGAACAGUCACCAUGGUGAUAGGGAAGGUCUUCCACAACGAGGAGUGCUAAUAUUUACACCAAAAUAGCCAAACUAAGAAAAUACCAUGGGAAUUUUUUUUAACUCAUUUACUUCAGUCUAAAAUGUUCAAUUCCUGAACAAUUUAGUGAAUAACUCUCUCAGUAAAGAGCAUGUUAGUGCCAGACAGUCAAUGGUGCCCCCCCGUGAUGACCAUGUCGGCAAAGGGGAGUGAUGUCAAUCAUGGGGGAUCGGACUUUAACGAGAACUUGGCCUUGUCGCUGGAUUGAUGUGAGUAUUUAGCUUCUUUUUUUUUUUUUAUUCGGUGGGUGGAGGUAGACCAGCAAGGGUUACUCUAACCAAAACCAGUGUUUUAUGAAAAAAAAAAAAAAAGGAAACAAUGGCUCAAUAAUAAAAUAAAAAAUGAUACAAAAAAUAAAUAAAAUAGGCAAAUCUUUGCCGGUGAAAACAAGCGUGUAGAAAGCAAAGGACAAUAAUUCAAAUAUUUUUUAAGAGGCAGGCCCCAUCUGGCUUAUUUUUACAGUAAAUAUAGACAAGGGAAUUUUUGUGAGGAAAUGUGUGCUACCAGAGAACUGCCUCCAUGCCUUCUACUAGUUAAAGUCUCAAAGAACGGAGGCAGUCAGAUGUUACAUUUACCCCCUGGACCUAGGACCUCUCGUUUUAAGAGAGAGAGAGAUGCAUGCACUAGAGAAAAGUGCACACCUCUCACGGAAUGACUGUGUUAGACCCCUUGUGAUGGUGUGUUUGACCUAAACAGCAUUGUGCAGCAGAUAGGAGGUAGAACGUAUCACAGGAAUUAAUAAGAAAUCCAAAUUGUAAGCCACAUUUACAGUCGCUUCCAUUGAUAAAUUCUUGCAGUAAAUAAAGCGACUGUCGGUUUUUUUGACCCAUAAAUAUGACCUCUGAUGGCUAGAGGAACUAACCAAAAGGAAGUGGAAGAGACUAACACCAGUCAUUCAUUCAACAACCUAUUUCCCUCCCUUUGGCUUGUACCCCAUCCAACAAAAUGGACUGGCAGAGUUCCAAAACAUGAUAACGGGGACUAACUAUGCCCGGAGGAAAUACUGAUAUAUGGAUUUACCUUCCCAAAGCCAACUACUCUAAGUGUAGCACUUAUGGCUGGAUGGAAAUUAAACCAGGGAUCAAAAGGACGUUUCUUGGCAUAGAGAAUUUAGGCUGGUGGAUUUUGUAAAGCCCAAAAUUAAUUCUUAAUUAUGUAUAGGUAUUGAUGUUUUUUUUUUUCUUCUUUGAGUCCAAUUUUUAUUGAUUUUUUCUUUUGCACAAACACUUAUAAGUAAAACAUUACAGUGGUAUCAAAAAACGUGUUGCGUUUUUUAAGUAUUUUGCUCAUUCAGACAAGGGAACUUACUACACUACAAAAAUUAAGUUGUUUUAUUUUUCCUCUGCAGCUCUGCCUUGUUCUCAGAAUUUUUCUCUUUGAUUCAUGGCAUGGGAUCGUGGAAAGUUCCGUAAAGCGCAGUGUUGUAUUGCAUAUGAAUAUAAGAAUUUGUGUUUAUGAAUGCGUGUGUAUAUGAAUGUGAGUAUGUGCAUGUAAUUUUACCUAACAAAAGGGGAUUCGAGGGGUGCAGAAUGAGACACAACUUUUUUUUUUUUUACAGUUUGGGGGUGGGGUGCCAAAAUGCAUUUCAAUCAUAUAACCUAGGUACGCCUCUUGUACAGCGCCACAACUUUCAAAAACUUCUGAAAUAAUCUACAGAGACAUAGACAACAACCAAGCAUAGAAAAUUCACUUCCACAAAAAAGUUGGAAAACUUUAUUUUACUUUAUUGUUACAUUAAAAAACAACAACAAACAUAUUUCACAACGGAGCUGUUGUGACAAAAAGGGGGAACUUUUUGGGCACAGAACCCCUUAAAUACUGGUUGCUGCAGACUCAUGAUUCUACGAUUGAUAGAAUUCUAAGUUUUAGCAAAUUGUCAGUGUGUCCCUGAAAUAGAAAUGGCAGCUGCCAAGUGACUUUUAAGACUCUAUAUCUUUUCCUAAGCACACGUUCCUUUGUUUUGUUUUUUUUUUGUUUCUUUUUUUUUUCCUUGAAAAUGUUUUGGGAAAGGCGUUAACCUCUUUCCGUGCCUCUAUUUUAGUUCCCUUUGUCCCCAAUAGGAUGAGUGCAGAGUAAAUGACACAACAGGAAAUAAGGAAGCUGUCUUCGGAAUCAGCAGACACUUCACCACGAUAUCCUCCACCUAGAACAUGGUCCGCACACGGAGCCUUGCCCGCACCGAGGAUAUGUGUGCAGUCUGGAGGCCUGGUGAAAGAUUUAGGAAGGGCAUCUGUAAUCACAAGGGGAGGGAAACUAAUUAUCUGAAUCAGUCUCAGAGGAAAGAGAGGAGCCCGAGGGUAAUAUUGGGGCGUUUUGCAAGAACAGUUCUGUUUGUUGAAAAGCUUGAAGAAAGUUAUAGAGUUGAUUGAAAAGGAAGCGUCAUGAGUAAAGGAUGCUUUUCCUUUUAGUUUCUGACAUAUAUAGAAACAUAGAAUGUGACGGCAGAUAAGAACCAUUUGGCCCAUCUAGUCUGCCCAAUUUUCUAAAUACUUUCAUUACUCCCUAGCCUUAUCUUAUAGUUAGGAUAGCCUUAUGCCUAUCCCACGCAUGCUUAAACUCCUUUACUGUGUUAACCUCUACCACUUCAGCUGGAAGGCUAUUCCAUGCAUCCACUACCCUCUCAGUAAAGUAAUACUUCCUGAUAUUAUUUUUAAGCCUUUGUCCCUCUAAUUUAAGACUAUGUUCUCUUGUUGUGGUAGUUUUUCUUCUUUUAAAUAUAGUCUCCUCCUUUACUGUGUUGAUUCCCUUUAUGUGCCCCCACCCUCAGGGUCCCCCUGCCGCCGGGCUGGAUGGAGAGGAAGGGGUAAACUUACCUCUUUCUCCAGCGCCGGGCGGGGAGCUCUGCUCCUCCUCUCCGCCCUCUCUCCUCAUCUUCGGCUGAAUGCGCAUGCACGACAAGAGCCGCGUGUGCAUUCAGCCAGUCCAUAGGAAAGCAUUCUGAAUGCUUUCCUAUGGACGCAAGCGUCUUCUCACUGUGAAAAUCACAGUGAGAAGCGCGGAAGCCCUCUAGCGGCUGUCAGUGAGACAGCCACUAGAGGCUGGAUUAACCCUAAUAUAAACAUAGCAGUUUCUCUGAAACUGCUAUGUUUACAGAAAAAAAGGUUAAUCCUAUCUGGACCUGGCACCCAGACCACUUCAUUAAGCUGAAGUGGUCUGGGUGCCUAUAGUGGUCCUUUAAAUGUUUCUAUCAUAUCCCCCCGUCUCGUCUUCCUCCAAGCUAUACAUGUUAAGUUCCUUUAACCUUUCCUGGUAAGUUUUAUCCUGCAAUCCAUGAACCAGUUUACUAGCCCUCCAUGAACCAGUUUAGUAGCCCAUGUCUAUGACUUUUUGUAACAGUGAAUAUAGUUCCAAAGUCACUUCUGUAACAACGUAACGAGGCCAAUGUGUCCACUGUAUAUAACAGGCCAUGAUUUUUUGGGCUUUGAUACUUGUUAAGAUGAUGAUUGAAAAACACAGUAAUUUAAUAUAUUUAAUGCCUCUUAUUGACCUCUUUCUGAAGAAAGAUCCUAGAGUCAAUAUGAAUCUGCUUUUCCGAGGACUCAAGCUGCUUUAUGCCUCUGAUAAUUGUUUUUAAAGCUCGUGUACAAUCUAGCUUCUACUCCCCUGAUCAAUUCUGUCCCAGAGUCACUGGAUGGUUUGUGUGACUCUUAUUGACAGUUACUCUGUGAAGCAGCUGCUUAUAAUAUGACUAAUUGGUGCUUAUUCCAUACUCAAUGAAAUCCUCUUCUGAGGCAAAAAUUAUAGAUUGGAGCAUUAAGUGCUCAGAGAUACAUAAAAAUCAAAUAAGUAUGGGAGAGUCUGCAUGCGCCAAAAAUGAAUAUUUUUAAUUGACAUUAUGUCUCUUAAUUGCGCCUUCUGAGUCUGCCAAAUACUCAAUGAAUUUAAAUGUUAAAUUGUAUUUUUCACUUUCUCGUUAUUCUUUUGGUAAUAGUUAUAAAUAAUUGCAAGCUUAGAUCCCUGAAAAUGUUAAACAACAGAGAAGCAAGUGUAGAAAGAACCCCCCCCACCCCCCCCCAAAAAAAAAUCAAAACAACAAACACAAACAAAACAACAAAAAGGAAGCACUGAUGGAAAUUUAAGAAUUCCUUUACAAAGUGUCAGUAUUUGUAAUUUUUCUCUUAAAUUCUUAAAAUGGAACAACAUAUAUUCUUAAAAGAAAAACAAAACCAAUUUAAAGUUCUCUAGUGGUUAAUACUGUUGGAUAAUGCACUGGCAAACAAACAUUACUUUAUUCUGCUGAGACUCAAAAAUGAAUAUAUUGUUGACCUAAAGGAUGAGAAUUUAAAAGAAUUGAAUCAUAAUUGCCAACCCUCACUAUUACCGUGGUCUCAUCUUAAACAGCCAUGUCUGUCUUAAUUUUGAAUAUCCCAAAGACGUGACAGGGAUGAGAACAUUAAAUAAGAAGAGAAAAAAAAUCUUGUGACAUAAUGAAACUUGUGAAAACGUGAUUACAUUUCAAACAGCAAAAAAUUGAUUUUCUGAACUAGUUUUCAGCUGACGCUUGAAUUCAGUGGCCUCAUAAAAACAUUUCUGCUUUUGAAAUAGAAUAAAGGUAUUCCUUAAAAGACUUGUGCGUUUGGUUUCAAACAAAUUAGAAUUAUAAUGGUCAUGAUAUCAUUUUUAUGGUAUUUUUUAUUAUAAAUAUAUUUUACAGUAUAUUGGUUGGUCCAUUUUCAUGACCUUUUGGUUUGUCCGAAUCGUUUGCCGUAACCAAAAUACCCUAUAAAUACAUUUUGGACGACCGGACUAUAUUUUUUUUCGGAUUAAUCAAUUCGGUCAAAACAGACUGAUGAUUUGCUGGUCCUGAAAUUACGUUUCAAGUUACGUUUAGUGGUUCUAAACAUUUUUAUGCAAAUAUUUUGCUGCUCUGCUCUACUUUUAUAAAUAGUCUAGUGGAAGUUUGAAAACAUGGGAUUUACAUUUUAAUACACGUGCCGUUUCUCCUGUUUAGAACGUGUAUUAUUCAGUAUGAUGAGUGCCAGUCUUUUCAGACACUUACUCUCCCUCGCCGGUUAACUCACUGACUGAUUCUUGUUUUUGCGUGGAUACAAUAUAUGAAGGAUUCCCAUACCAAAUGUUAGCAUUGUGCUUUUGUCAUUAGUAACUGAUGAAACAUCCAGUAUGCUUAAAGGGACACUAUAGGCACCCAGACCACUUCAGCUCAUUGAAGUGAUCUGGGUACAGUGCCCAUUUUGCCCUUAGUGCUGAAAUGGUUAACAUUGCAGUUCCAGAGAAACAGCAACGUUUACAUUGCAGCACUAAGUCUGCCUCCAGUUGCUGUCUUCCAGACAGCCACUGGGUGCGCUUCACGCUCUGCAUGAGGACAUCCAGAGUCAUCAAUUUCCCCAUAGCAAAGCAUUGAUUCAAUGCUUUCCUAGGGGGUGGGCAUAAUGCACGUGGCACUUGCACGGACAUCAGAGCUGGGAUCAGGUAAGUAAAUAAAGAAUUUUUAACCUUUUAUUCACCGCAGCUUGUGGGAGGGCGUGAGAGACGGGGGAGGCAGAGUGCCAUGAAUACAGCUUUGAAUUCCUGGCACUAGAGUAUUCCUUUAAUUUCCAAUUUUGCUUUCCCAUUACUCUUAAAAAACAACCUUUAUGCAUGAAUAAAAAAGGUUACUCAUAAGGAAAAAACAAAAAAAAUUCAGAUUCCUAAAAUACUUGCUAUCUUAUUAGCUCCACCCUUUGUGCCAGUAGGACCACAAUUAAACACAUAAAUUCAUUAAUUAAUAAAUCUACCCGGCUCUUUGCAAGAAGAGCCAAAAAUGUCAUAUCUCUAUCUUGGUUCCAACUUCCUAGAUGUUCCUGUGGAUCUCACAUUUUUAAUCCGUUCCAUUAACCUUAAAGGAACACUAUAGGGUCAGGAACACAAACAUGUAUUCCUGACCCUAUAGUGUUAAAACCACCAUCUAGCCACCCUGGUACCCUCGUGCCUCUAAAAAUAAAGUAAAAUCUUACUUGAAUUCAAGCCUGCAGCUGCAUAGUUUGUCCCGGUUUCCUUUAGACCUGCCCACUGCCUGCCGGCAUCAUCAGAGGAUUGGCUGAGACUGACAAAGAGGCAGAUCAGGGGCAGAGUCAGCACAAUUCAAACAAAGCCCUGGCCAAUCAGCAUCUCCUGAUCAGAUGAAUUCAAUCAAUGAAUCUCUAUGAGGAAAGUUCAGUGUCUGCAUGCAGAGGGAGGAGAUACUGAAUGUUUGGAUGCAUUUUAGGCAGCCAUGACCCAGGAAGGAUCUCUAACAGCCAUCUGAGGAGUAUCCAGUGAAGAUAUCACUAGGCUGUUUCUCUGAAAAGACAGUGUUUACAGCAAAAAGCCUGAAGGUAAUGAUUCUACUCACCAGAGCAAAUUCAAUUAGCUGUAGUUGUUCUGUUGACUGUAGUGUCCCAUUAAUAGAGUGAUGACUACAAGGGCCAUCUGUGAUCCCCAAAAUGAAGCCUUGGUUGUGUUAAUAGUGUUAAUAGUGUUAGUGUUGUGUUAAUACAUCUGCUGUGCAUAUCCUGUAUUUUAAGGUGACUACUACAGUAAGCAGGGGUUCUGAUGCUUCAAAAUGUUUUCAAACAUCCUAUGCUGUUAUCUCGUUUGACUUUCUGUUUUAACUUGGAAAAACCAACAGGAAAGUGGAGUAACAGCAUUUCCUAAGAAAAGUGACAAAUCUAUAUAUAAAGAAAUAAAAAUGUUUUUAUCGUUGCCAUAGUCUCUAUCAUAUGUCUAUACAAAAUAAACUCUAAUCUCUCAAAGUGGAACCUUGAGAAAAUAUCUUAAAGAGAAUCUGUAGUCCCGUAAAUAACAAUUAUAAUUUCGUGACUACAGUCUCCUUUCUUACAAUGUAAACAUUGUUAAACAUGUGUUAAACUUUAUCAUAUUCAUCAGUAUUGUCCCAGUCAGACCUGAGGAGGAGAGGAAAACUCUCAAAAGAUUUUUUUUAAAAUAUUAUGUUAGCCCAAUAAAAAGAAAGUAUCAUUUAAUACUGAAAUACUUAGCAUCAUGUUUUACUGGACUAAUACUCUAAUCUACAUUAAAAUAUUGUGUUCAUCUUUCUAUAAAUGCAGUAACUGGAAAUAUAAACAAAACAUUUAUCAUAGAAGUUAGUAGGUAAUGCCUUUUACUGUGACGUCAUCGGGAUUGUGUGACCUCACGAUGAUGCAGAAGACGUGAUCACUAAAAUACUACUGCGCAGUCACGAAUAAGUUAACACUGCCUGACUAUGCGUUAGCUAUGCGGUGAGGUAACUACACACAGGAUGCAGGCCGGAGGAAGAGAAAAUAAUACGGCUCUGAAAGCGAGCCAGAUCUGCUUGAAAAUGCAUUUCUCUCUCAUGCAAACUAUUUUACUUAGAAAGCAACAUGUGAAACUGAUCUGAAGUUUGCUCAGCGGCUGGAUAGAAGGUCAGUGUUAUCCUCUGCUCCAAGUGUGUGGGAGACUCUCUGGCUUCCUCUGACAUUCUAUGGAACGCUUUCAAAGAUUCGUCUGGAAGUUUUGGAAACCACUCCUAAAUCCUGAAGAACCUCUAUUAGAAGGAAGAAUGUCCUUGCAAGAGAACUGGUGGCAAUGACUGCUGCAGUUACAGCAGUUUUACAGUAACGCCUGCAAGGUUUUGGGGUUUUUAAAGGUCCGAUUGUUGACACCACUAAUGUUUGCGAGGAAAUGGGGUGCACUUUCAAAGACUGUUUGUGAAUGGUAAAAAAAAAUGGGGUGCUUGCUAUAAAACCGGUGGAUCUGCUACAGGCUGACAGAUUAUAACGGGAGUUGUAGUCCAACUAUAUCUAAAGGACAUUAUUAUUAUUAUAUUUCUAUAGCGCCAACAAAUUCUGCAGCGCUUUACAAUGGAUGGACUAACAGGCGUGUAGUUGUAACCAGACAAGUUUGAUGCACAGGAACAGAGGGGUUGAGGGCCCUGCUCAAUGAGCUUACAUGCUAGAGGGAGUGGGGUAAAGUGACACAAAAAGGUAAGGGAAGUAUUAGGGAAGUUGAUUGGUAGAAUAGUGUUCACUUUUGACUUAGUGUGUUUUUUUUUUGUUUUGUUUUUUGACAAUUGCAGGAGAUGAAUACGUUGGGAGCCAUUAACAGUUUAGCUGAUAUGCUAUUGUGAAAAAGUGGGUUUUUAAUGAUUUUUUUAAGGAAUGGAGACUGGGUGAAAGUCUAACUAAGAAGGGAAGGGAGUUCCACAGAAAUGGCGCAGCCCUAGAGAAGUCUUGAAGGCGAGCAGAGGUGGAAGUACAAACAGAGGAUAGACGUAGGUCUAUGGCAGAGCGUAGGGGCCUAGAUGGGACAUACUUGAGUAUUAGGGAGGAUACUGUCACAGUUCUCACCGUGAUAUCCAGACAGCCAGACCUGGUUGCCCCAAAAGUGCCCAACAGGGGAUAUGAACCUGGAUCCUUCUGUGUCCUGGGCCUGCUGUUUUGCCUCUGAGCCUCAUUUCUGUUCUUGCUUCAGCCUGAUGUUUAUCUUUGCCUUGUCUCCAGCACUGGGGGCUGGACUUUUCCUGUGGCUGCUCCUAUCAAUCUCGGUCCACCUGAAGCAUAUCGCUAAUUAGCCAGGUAUAAAACACUGCCUCUCUCUUAGGGCAGUGUCACUUCAUUGACUCUGGUUCCUGUUAUUGUGUAUCUUUAUCCAGUGUUCUCCAGACAGCUCCUGACCUUGGCUUAUCUCAUCGUUUACUCUGACAUCUGGCUUUCCCUGACUUUCCACGACUAUUCUUCUGCUUGUCCUUGCCUGUACUGAGACUUGGAGCUAUAUUCCUGCACAGCCCCCGUGCACAGACUCACAGCCCAGGUGGCUUUUUACCUGGUCACCUUGGUCUGUGUUUAUUUGCAAGGGUGAGUGUAUAACUCUGCACGUCGGACUCCACAGGAAGCCAAUGUAGGGAGUGACAGAAGGGUGAGGUGUGGGAGGUGCGGGUGGACAGGAAGAUGAGCAUCACCGCCGCAUUCAUUAUAGACGGCAAUGGGGCAAGUUGGGAGCAGAUAAGAUGACUGAGAAGCGGAUUGCAGUAGUCAAGGCGGGUGAGGACAGUCGCAUGGACCAGCGCCUUAGCCGCAUCUGGCAUUAAGUAGGGUCGGAUACGCGCAAUGUUUUUGAGGUGGAAGCGGCAGGAUUUGGCGAUAGACUGGACAUGAGGGGUGAAGGAGAGGUCAGAAUCAAAGAGAACACCAAGGCAGCAAGCCUGCGUGGUGGAGCUGAGGGUAGCACCAUUAACGUGGAGGGAGACAGACACAGGAGUAGCAACACCUGAGGGAGGAAAGACCAGAAGUUGUUUUUGACAAUUUCAGCUUAAGGAAGUGGGCAGCCAUCCAGUUAGAAAUAGCAUAGAGGCAGUCAGAGACACUAGUCAAGAGGGGCAGGGAGAGAACAGGGGAGGACAGAUAGAUUUGCGUGUCAUAGAAGUGAUAUUGGAAGCCAAAGGAGCUGAUGAGUUUACCAAGGGAGGCAGUAUAGAUGGAGAGGACCACGGACAGAAACUUGGGGGACACCAAAAAAGAGAGGGGUUGGGGGGAAGAGGCAGAGCCAGAGAAAGAAACACUGAAAGAGCGCUGGAAGAGGUAGGUGGAGCACCAGGAGAGAGCAAUAUCUCCUGGACCGAGAUUACGGAGUGUGAGAUUAACAGUGUCAAAAGCAGUGGAAAGGUCAAGGAGAAUUAGGAUAGAAUAGUGUCCAUGAGAUUUUGCAACGAGUAGAUCAGAUAGUUGGAAACUUUGGUCAGAGCCGUUUCCACAGAGUGCUAAAUUUAACACACACAGUGUAAAGGAUGCAUACCCCUUGUUGCAGACAUAUAAAGUUAUUCACAUACAGGGCUAUUCAAUAAAGUGAGAAUUGAAAGUGUGUUCAAAGUGGAUUUCAAAUUUAAGACAAUCUGGAGGGAUAGCUGACUUAGAAUUUUGCACUUUGCACAUUGUGAAUUGUCAGGAAUUCAAAGUGAAUUUACAAAGAAAUUCAAAGGUUAGGUUAAAAUAGCCAGAAAGAAAAAAAUGCUGACUUGGAGAAUCCUUCGGUGACUUUGGCAUACCGUUUAAAAUUCACCUUAAAUUCCCGACAAUUCAUACUUUAGUAAAUAAUCCUGAUAGUCUUCUUACAUACAGACCAAUAGGCAGUAUCUUCUAUACUUUCCUUAUUCUUCUGUUGGCUGUACCCUGCAUAGUAACCAUUCAUGGUGGGUUUUUUCAAGCACAAAAUAUCUUUUCACAUGUACCUGAAUAUUUCAGCUGUGAAAACACUGAGUCCGGGCAUUGUGCUGUAUCUAAAUAGUGCCAUUUUUGGGGUGACAAGGUCACUUUAACCCCUUAAGGACACAUGACAUGUCAUGAUUCCCUUUUAUUCCAGAAGUUUGGUCCUUAAGGGGUUAAGAAAAGGGGAAACGCCAACUUUGUGUUACGUGGCUGAGUUGAACAUCGUCAAGCUUCUCAGCCUCUGGAGCUCCGUCAAGACCAAUGGGAUACGAAGACAGAGUUACAUUAAUAGAAGUAAAAUUCUCUGGUGUCCCUACUACCCAAUCCAAAGCUCUGUUACUUGCUCCUUGUUUUAGAAGACACAGAAAAACAAGUUGAGAGAUAUCUCCUCCCUCCUUCUCCAAAUAAAAAGUGCAAAUAUUUUACAGGAAAAUUAAAAAUAUAUUCAAAUAUACCUAAAAGGUUAAAAAUGUAGACAGGUGUCCGUGGGCACCUGCCUAGGCCAAAUCCGGCAUAUAAAUUGUGAGCUUCAACCAUCACCUGAAAUUGUCUUGUUUUAUUAUGCAAUUUGUCUUCUUUGCCUUUUUGCAAAAUCAAGUCACCUAUUAACAGCUCAAUCUGUCAGUUCAGCCAAACUGUAGCCAGAGAACUUGUGAUCUAGCUAAUGCUAAAUUAGAUUGUUUUGGAAGAAGAUCCAGAGUGUUAGAUUCAUUCUGCGAAGCGGUAUCGGACAGAUUUCAAAGAUAUUUGCAACUGAGUAUCUUAGGUCGUGCUUUUCCCAGGGGGGUUGGGCUAGAAUUGACAUAAAGGACCAGUGUUUGAUAGAAAUAAGGAAUGUAAGGAAGUUUAUAUCAGAGUAUUUCUAAGGUUAGUAUUGUUUUACUAAAGUAUUUUUGAAUUUAUCCAGGCCUUUAAAUCGGAAUCGUGAAGCUGCAAGUCACACGGAGACGCUCAGAUGACUUUCAUUCAUGUGUCAUCUUGUAAUAUGUUUAUCUAGAGAGGGCGGAAGGUGCAGUUGGCCGUGGAGGAGAAUCUGUGUGAAGAUAUGAAUGAAAUGUCAGACCAGUGACGCUUAUCAAUGAGAAUAUAUGUACACAAAGUGCAGAAAGUUUCCAAAAGCCAUAUUUAGCCCCAAACAGAUGGCAGGCAGGGAGCUCUUUAUGUCUUAUAAAUCAAACACAACAAUUGUAUGACCGGCUAAAUAAAUAAAAAAAAAUUUAAAUAAAACAAGGGAGGCUAUUUGUGGAAAUGCAGGAUGUGAAAACUACAAGAUAAAAUAAUAUAUUAAUUCUCUAAAUGCCACAAGGAUAGACUGUAAGCUCGUUUGAGCAGGGCCCUUUUCAGCCUAUCGGUCCUGUAAGUUUUCUUGUAAUUGUCCAAUUUAUAGUUAAAUCCCCCCUCUCAUAAUAUUGUAAAGCGCCAAGGAAUCUGUUGGCGCUAUAUAAAUGGCAAAAAUAAUAAUAAUAAUAAUAAUAAAACAUAGCAAAGCGAGUCUGAAAGAAGAGCAAUUUAAAAUCCAGCACACUGGGGAGUAUAACUGUAGAACAAUCAUGUCAAACUCAAAGUGUGGCACGAGCCACAUAAACAAGGUUUAAGUUUAUGUGGGCCGCACACACACAUACUCACUGACAGACACACACACACUGACAGACACACACACACACACAUACAGACACACACACACUCACUGACAGACACACAUACAUACUCACUGACAGACACACACACAGACAAACACACACACACACUCACUGACAGACACACACACAUACUUGCUGAUAGACACACACGCUGACAGACCCACACAUACUUGCUGACAGACACACAUACUCACUGACAGACACACACACACACAGACAGACACACACAGACACAUACACACAGACAGACAGACACACAUGCAGUCACACUGACACACACACACACACACACUCACUGACAGACACACACACUGACACAGACACACAUACUCACUGACAGACACACACACACACAUACUUGCUGACAGACACACUCACACACUUACACACACAUACUUUUCAUUAUUGCUCCUUACCUUGGAGCCGAUGUGGGGCAUCUCCCUGGCAUCCUUCCUGCUCCUCACUGCUCCCUUGUGCGGUUUAGUGAUGCCGGGUGCCGGAAUAUGACAUCAUAUUCCGGCGCCCGGCUUCACUUCAGUUGGCACGCGCGAGGGAGCAGUGAGGAGCUGGAACACUGAGCUCCCUCGCGGCCCUUCUCCCCGGCCUGGUAAGUGUUAGCAGAUUAGGCACCUGCAAUAUGGGGAAAGCACGUGCCUACUCUGCUAUAACACCAGCAUGCACUCGCGGCUCGCCAGCCGCAAAGAUGGUCCUUGUGGGCCACAGGCGGCCGUGAGUUUGACAUGCUUGCUUUAGAAGGUGAACUUUGGACAAUCCACAGUGUUGCUUGGAGUGUCCCUUUACCUAUUUAUGCUAUCGAAAUGUUGUUCUUAAAGGCUCACUAUAGUGUCACUAACACAAACAUGUAUUUAUGACCCUAUAGAGUUUAACCCACCAUUUAGAUGGCUUGCCUCCCCUUAGCCCCCAUAUAAAAGUUUAAAACUCACCUUAUUGGCUCCUUUGGCGCUGGCUCCGCCUCCUCUGUGACAUCAUCAAAAUGGAUUGGCUAAAAUCAGCACGGGGCGGGGCUAAAUGCCGGUUUGGCCGAUCAGGACCUCCUCAUAGAGAUGCAUUAAAUCAUGGCAUCUCUAUGAGGAAAAUUCAGCGUCUUCAUGCAGAACGUGGGGACACUGAACAUCAGGGCUGCUUUUUCGGCAGCGCUGACCCAGGAAGCACCUCCAGUGGCCAUCUAAGGAGUGGCCACUUGGAGGUGUCCCUAGAGGCAGUGUUUGCAUGAAAAAGCCUGAAGGGAACUAUUACACUCACGAGAAAAACUACAUUAAGCUGUAGUUGUUCUGGUGACUAUAGUGUCCCUUUAACACUGACAGGGUAAUUAAGUUAACUGUGGAUUGUCCAAAGUUCACAGUUAACUUCAAACGAUAGGCCAAAGUCAGAAUUGGAAACUUAGUUGACUUGGAAAAUUUUCCCAGUUCUGCUAUUUUAGUAGUCUAAAAUUUAAAAUUCACUUAAAUACAUGACUUUUCCACUUUCCACUUUACUAAAAAACCCAGUGAACAUCUGGGGGUUUAUUAGCUAAAUUAACUGAAUUGAAGCAGAAAACCAGAAUAACAAAAUCUAGGUUAAAGGGACACUACAAACAUUCAUCUCACUGAGGUGGUCUCCUCCCCCCCCCCCUUAGUCCUGCAAUGUAAAACAGAAAUUGCAAUGUUUACAUUGCAAUGCUAAGACUGCCUCUAGUGCUAUGGAAUUAGCUGGCACUAUAUAAAUAAUAUAAUAAUAAUAAUAAUAAUAGGUGUCUACCAGACAGCCACUAGACAGCCAUUAGAGGUGCUUCCUGCAGUUUCACUGAGUCAGACUCCGUGAAAUGACGCUGGACAGCCUCACGCGUUACAUGAGUAGAUCCAGCAUCAAGACCCAUUAGGUCCAUCUUAUUGGCUAAUGUCACCGAAGGAGGAGCACAACCCAACAUUGAGGGACCUCGGCACUGGAAUCAGGUAAGUGACUGAAAGGGUUUUCAACCCUUUCAUGGAUGGGAAGAGGGGAGCCCCGGGGGCAGAGUGGACAUCUUUGUAUUCCUAACACUAUAGUGUUUCUUUAACUUAGUCAAAUUGUGACUACAGGCGAGUUGCAGAUUUUUUUUUUUCAUAUCUGCUAUUUUUGCAUUCAAAUUUCAAUUCGGUAUAAUUCAUUAUUCGGUGAAUAAAUCCCUAAAUAUUAGAUUAAUCCUUGGUUGAAGUUACCUUGCUUUACAGGACGGUAAUAUUUUCAGACUGUAUGACUAAUGGUUAACCUUAACACCCUAGAUGUUUGCAAAUUGCAAUUCCCAUGACGCACAAGAGGCCUAAAAGAAAACGUUCUGUCAGACAUAUCCCUACAGUUCACAAGCAUCUGACAGCCAAGGUAUCUGUCACUGAGCAAGAGUGAGCUUGAUAUUGUGUUUCCUCUUUUUUUAUUCUUUCUUUUUAUGCCCCAUUGCCAGGCUUCAAAGCAGAAAUAAGAGAUUCAAACUAUCGGACUUCCUCCCUCUGUGCUCAUCAUACAACUUUAUGACUUUAUUUUGUUACUCUACAGCAUGUUCAGUGAUGUCAGGUUAUUGGGAUGCAGAAACCUGCAGUGCGCAAGAUGGAAACACCAGAUUUAACAUAAAUACCAUACUACAAAGGGCAGGUUAAGCAGUUGUUGGCUACAUUCCGUACUCACUCUUAAAGAGACGCUCUAAUCAUCAAAACCACUACAGCUUAUUGAAAUAGUAAUAAUAGGAUUAGUGCUGUUAUAGUUAUGGUGCCAAAAGGUUUUGGUCAGUUUCACAAAAUUCAGGGCCUUCUUGGCACCCACAGCCAAGACUCCCAUAAAACGCUGCAAGUGUGGAUACAUGUUUCCUUUAGAGUUUACCCAUUGUUUGAUUUUAAAUGAUGUAAUUAAAAUACUCCAAGCCUAAACAGAUUCUUCCCCGAUAGGAACAGUGAUGAGGACUCAGUCAUUACUUUUGUGCAAAAAGACAGUUACUUUAUUAUAUCCAAAAUUGAAUUAAAUUGGAAAAGGUGCGUGGGUGGGGGAGACGGGGACAAUAGAAAACACUAUGAACACCAUCACCCCGGUAAUAGCCAUGCACAAUCCUAAUUUAAGCAUUACACUCUCUAUAUUUACUAUUUUCUUUUCUAUAAACUAUAGCAUCUGCUCCAUGCUUCAUGUUUUAGACACGGGCUGAUAUUUCUAAUUCUUCCCAGAAAAACGUACUUUGUUAAAUGGUUUGAUGUCCCUCCCUAUUCAUCGCAUGGAAGGGACCCAGUCAAAUCUGAAAAGUAGAGUUAGGGCUAAGUAGAUAAACACGGCCCCUGGUCUGUUCACAUUAUCUUCUAAUCCCUUCCAGCGGGUCUCCUGUUGUGCUGACAUCACCAGGGAGGGGUAUGUAUCUUAAAUUCAUGUGGCCAAGAUCCAUAAAUCAAAAGUGGUAAAACCCACAGGUGGAGAUUAAACAAAAUAUAUAACAAAAGCAUAGCUACUUGAAUAAGAUCAGCUGCAAUUAAAGUGACCAUCAUUGAAAGGAGUCAAUGAGAGCGGACGCAGACACAGAAGCAUAGUGCAGAGAUGUUCUGGUAACGGCCUAGAAAGACCAUACUUUGCCCCCCCCCCCCAAAGCUUUUACCCCGACAGUUUCACUCCCUGCCACCACCGGGAUUGUACUCUAGAGCACACCUGUGGGGUAGAAGAACAACUAUUGUUCCUGUAAGUUUAUUUGUAAUUGUCCUAUUUAUAGUUAAAUCCCCUUUCAUAAUAUUGUAAAGUGCUACGGAAUCUGUUGGCGCUAUAUAAAUGGCAAUAAUAAUAAUAAUAAUAAAAGGUCCCGGGCUGGGACAGACUCAAGUGGACUGGACACCAUCUUGGCCAUGAGCAAAGAAACUCGGAGUGAUCUAAUACCCCAUCACCAAGUGCUCCCAAGUGCAUUCAUGUUAAUUAUUAGUAUGCUUUCUACUAUUGCUCCAAUUAUUGAAAUGCACAAGGGUUCCAUUGGUCUAUUAUCACCAUUUUGCUUUCCCCACUGGCUGUGACAUGGGGAGUAGGCAAAGUCACAUCUCACAAUCUCAUCUAACAACUUACCCUAUUGACCCAGAUUUGUACUUAACCAGGGUUAUAGCAGGCCAACCCCUUAGUAUCAUAAUACAAACCUUUUAAAGCUGAACAGCCCAAAUUUGUUCCCCCCGAUGUUGCAUCAACUUUAUUGCAUCAAGGCUGCAGACCUCAUCCACCUUCACAGAUAUGAUAAGUAAAAGAGAUCAUGCUUAAUUCAGUUUUGUAUUUUAUAUGUUGUUCUUUAAUUCUUUUUCUUCUUUUAACUUUCUCCAAAAAUAUCAUGCAAGACAAGUAGACCUUUAGCUAAGUCUUCAACCUGCUAAUUUGAAAUGUGAUAUUUGUGAAUGCCUCACUUAUUAUUUUUCUUUGACUCAUUGACAAUAAAAGAGUUUAAAACUAAAGUGACCAUCAUUAUGGAAACGAUUUAAAACAUUUUGGAGAGUGACAACACAUAUUCCAUCUUUGGAAUCCUUUCAGAAGCUUGCGAAUGAGACUUCAGACAAUUACUUUAGAUUUUCACUUUCUGUAUCUUAAACUGUGAGUCUACCCCAUAAGAUUUCUUCAGCUGAGAACUCAUAUUCUAUGCAAUAGGAUUGGCCACAUAAUUGAAUUUUGGCUGAGGUUUUUUAUUUUCCUCUUGGCUUUACACAAGAAUUUCUGACAUUAUUGACCAUCCGCUAUCAACCUCUAAAGAAUUAUACACUAAUAACAAACCUGAUGCUGUCAGCAAUGUUCUAAGUAUUUGGUAUGCUGUGGGUUGAAAGAUGUGCAUAUCUAACGCUUGGCUUUUAGAUGAAAAAAUAUGAGUUUGUGCGUACAAUCCAACUUUUCUUUUUACCAAAGAGGCCCAGGUUUGUGUUAUCUAGAGGUGUGAAAGGGGGCAUUGCUGAGAAUAACGAAACAUUAUACACAUAUAUAUAGGGCCAGUAUAAGCAGCUCUCUGAUAAUCUGUUCAUUAAUAAGAUGGUCAAAAGGACAAGAUGUCAUUUAUUUAGACUUGAAGAGACGAGAUUUCACAUAGAGCAAUAGAAAGGGUUCUUUACAGUAAGAAUAAUAAAGAUGUAUAAUUCUCUAUCUAAAGAGGCUGUUCAGAUUCUGUACAGAUUUUUAAACAAUGUAUAGAUGUGCAUUUGGAAAAACUGAAUAAUGAAGCAUAUAGUAGUUAAAAUGUGGGGUGUCAGCUUCUUGAUCCAAGAUGAUAUCUGACUGCCAACUUAAGAAUGGAUAUUUUCCCAAUUUGUGCCAAAAUUGGAAAUCUCUUCUUUUUUUUUUUAAUCAACUCCAGAAAAAUGGAUAUGUGAAAGGCUAAACUUGAAGGACAUGAAUUGCUUUCAGCCUAUGUUACUACAUAAACAUUUUAAAAAUAAUAACUGCAUAUAUACAUAUGCUGUAGUUAAGGCUCACAUCACAAUGAGUUCUUUCACUAUUGAUCUCGGUGAUACAAUCAUAUACUGCAUAGUACUAUGACUACGUACCCUAGUGGUAUGAAACACAUUAGGUGGCUCUCUGUCAGGGUGGCGGUCCGGUGCCCGGGACCCAGACACUGUCUGGGCGGCGGUGCGAGGACCCAGUAUGCCUGAUGUUCAGAGUAGGACUCACAGUGUGGAGGUGGAUUAGCAGGGUCUGGUGCAGGGUAACCGCACACCCCCUGGUGUUGAGCACCAGCGUUUGUGCAGCCACAUACCAGAACCCUGAUUCAGCAUAUGCAGAUCCCAGGAACUAGGAGCAGGACAUAAGCAGACCUCCCAGGAGCUGAAUAGGGAGGCUCUGCAGCAAGAAUGUAUCCAGUACAGAAACACGGCAAGACUAGAGAUAGGCACCAUACAUGAAAAACAAGACAGAACUAAUAGAACCCAAAACCAGAGAAGGAUAGGAAGCUAAACCCAGAACAUGUACACAAGAGACGAGGGAAACAUCAAUAUAACAUGGGCAGGACUGGACAGGACUGUACAUAGACUGGGUAUACAAACUAAAACAAGAUAAGAUAGGCAAAACAAGAGGAGAAAUAACUAAGUACUAUAUAUGAAAAUCAUGGGGAUUUAGUCACAUUAUAUGAUCAUACAUUGCAUAAGCCUGCCAACAACGCCAAUGUACCCCAUAUCUGGCAGGUCCUACACUGCCUAAUGUAUGCUAAAACAACCAAAGAAGACAUAUAUAGCACUUACCUGCAAGAUUAUUAUUAUUUUCAAGUUUCCGCACUAAUAUUUAUUUUCAUGUAUGUUUAAGAAUCUAUUUGAUUAGUAAUAGUGUGCAUCAGGACAAGAACUAAAGAGGACCAGAGGCAAUUGAUCCAUAAACCAAAAAAAAAAAAAAGUUUCAUGUCUUGAAAUGUGAGGAAGAGAAAGAUUCUCACUCAAGGUUAAUAGUCUGCCUUUUAGCUUUUCAGUUUUUUUUUUUUUUUUUACAAAUUAAAAUUUUAGUUGAGCAGAGUAAAUCAAAACAGACCUUCAGACCUUCCUGGUUUAUUUGAAUGGAAAAGUUAAAAUUGUCAUUCAAUGGCUGUGUACUUGACUUCCACCUGGGGACUUUGCUUCCAACCAUGAUCUCAGCUUCAGACUUCAAACCACAUAUUUCUGGUCUCCUAUCUCAUUAUUCCAGAUGGUCAUUCUGGCUCUGAAGAAGAGCCUCACAAUUCAAGACGUGUUUUCCCACAGUUCUCAUUAGCAUGCUGUGUUUCCAGUGCAGCAAAGGAUUCUGGGUCUGAAUAGUCAAAUGAAGCCGACAACGUCUACCUUUUAAUAUUAAAUGGAGGCCUUUAGAUAUACUGAUUAUUGGAACCAAUUUUAUUGACCUCAGAAGAAGGCUGACCUUACCAGGAACUAAACCUGUGACUCGUAGAUACUAUUUUUGGAUAAUGGCCUUUAACUAACAUGAAUCCUGCCUAAGGCUGAAUAUUGAUAAUAUAUUGAUGAUGGUAUAAACAUGUCUUAUUUUUGUUUCUGUUGUGAUGUAUCAGUCAGAAUACAAAUUUUUUAAUAUGUCUGUUUCUGAUUCCAAAUAAUGUCAGUCUGGCAAUUUUUUAGUCCCGUCUCCAGUCAUUGUUAUUUGAUUGUGUUACUUAUUUAGAGACUGUACCCUUAUUUAAAAUUAAACUGUCACUUAAACAUUUAAGUUUAAAUUAGUAAAUUAGUUUAAAAUAAUAAUGCAGAGAUUUAUGCUGUUUUCAUCUAGCCAAGCAUGAAAACACUGUGGUACUCCGCAGAUGUGGCCAAAAUAGUUAAAAACAAAAAGUUAGCAUUUAGGAAUUAUAAAAAAACCCAGAGUGAGGGAGACAAAAUGAUCUAUAAGAUUAGGCAGAAAGAGGCUAAGCAAGUUAUAAGAGCUUCCAAAUCACACACAGAAGAGAAAAUAGCACAGUCAGUAAAAAAGGGGGAUAAAACAUUUUUUAGAUACAUAAAUGAGAAAAGAAAAGUAAAACAAGGAUUAGUUAGAUUAAAAACAAAAGAAGGAAGGUAUGUAGAAGAGGAUAAAGGUCAGGCUGACUGCCUCAAUGAAUAUUUUUGUUCUGUAUUUACAGAAGAAAAUGAAGGAAAGGGACCUCAGUUGAGAAAAAGGAUAAAUGAGUCAUUUAUUACACGUGAGUUUACAGAGGAAGAGGUUCUAUUUCAACUGUCAAAAGUAAAGACAAAUAAGUCAAUGGGACCUGAUGGAAUACACCCAAAGCUAUUAAAAGAGCUUAGUGGUGUACUAGCAAAACCAUUAACAGAUUUAUUUAACCAAUCAUUGUUAACAGGAGUAGUCCCAGAAGAUUGGAAGUUAGCGAAUGUUGUGCCCAUUUACAAGAAAGGUAAUAGGGAGGAGUCGGGCAACUAUAGGCCAGUAAGCCUUACUUCAGUAGUGGGGAAAGUGAUGGAAACCAUGUUAAAGGAUAGGAUUGAUGAACAUCUAAAAACACAUGGAUUUCAAGAUCAGAGACAACAUGGGUUUACUUCAGGGAGAUCAUGCCAAACUAAUCUUAUUGAUUUUUUUGAUUGGGUAACUAAAAUUAUAGAUCAGGGUGGUGCAGUAGACAUUGCUUACCUAGAUUUCAGUAAGGCUUUUGACACUGUUGCACAUAGAAGGCUUAUCAAUAAACUGCAAUCUUUAAGUUUGGAUUCAAAUAUUGUUGAAUGGGUAAGGCAGUGGCUGAGUGACAGGCAACAGAGGGUUGUAGUUAAUGGAAUAUAUUCGAAGCUUGGACUUGUCACCAGUGGGGUACCUCAGGGAUCUGUACUUGGACCCAUUCUCUUUAAUAUUUUUAUUAGUGAUAUUGCAGAAGGUCUUGAUGGUAAGGUAUGUCUUUUUGCUGAUGAUACUAAGAUAUGUAACAGGGUUGAUGUUCCAGGAGGGAUAAGCCAAAUGACAAAUGAUUUAGGUAAACUAGAAAAAUGGUCAGAAUUGUGGCAACUGACAUUUAAUGUGGAUAAGUGCAAGAUAAUGCAUCUUGGACGUAAAAACCCAAGGGCAGAGUACAGAAUAUUUGAUAGAGUUCUAACCUCAACAUAUGAGGAAAGGGAUUUAGGGGUGAUUAUUUCUGAUGACUUAAAGGUAGGCAGACAAUGUAAUAGAGCAGCAGGAAAUGCUAGCAGAAUGCUUGGUUGUAUAAGGAGAGGUAUUAGCAGUAGAAAGAGGGAAGUGCUCAUGCCAUUGUACAGAACACUGGUGAGACCUCACUUGGAGUAUUGUACACAGUACUGGAGACCGUAUCUUCAGAAGGAUAUUGAUACCUUAGAGAGGGUUCAGAGAAGGGCUACUAAACUGGUUCAUGGAUUGCGGGAUAAAACUUACCAGGAAAGGUUAAAGGAUCUUAACAUGUAUAGCUUGGAGGAAAGACGAGACAGGGGGGAUAUGAUAGAAACAUUUAAAUAUAUAAAGGGAAUCAACACAGUAAAGGAGGAGACUAUAUUUAAAAGAAGAAAAACUACCACAACAUGAGGACAUAGUCUUAAAUUAGAGGGACAAAGGUUUAAAAAUAAUAUCAGGAAGUAUUACUUUACUGAGAGGGUAGUGGAUGCAUGGAAUAGCCUUCCAGCUGAAGUGGUAGAGGUUAACACAGUAAAGGAGUUUAAGCAUGCGUGGGAUAGGCAUAAGGCUAUCCUAACUAUAAGAUAAGGCUAGGGACUAAUGAAAGUAUUUAGAAAAUUGGGCAGACUAGAUGGGCCGAAUGGUUCUUAUCUGCCGUCACAUUCUAUGUUUCUAUGUUUCUAUGUGUCUAUGUAAGCGUCAGCGUUUUGGCGUGGAGAAGGUAAUUUUUUAUAGUACAUUAAAAAAGGUUGUAGAGAUUAUGUGAUGUCAGCAGCCAAUCAAAGUCUGCCAUUUGCAGAACAGUUCCAAGCUUCCCACUGUGCAGCAAACAGAGACUGGUGGGCUCUCGGAUCAUGUUAUUUGCCCAAAAUAUCCUAUGUUGGUUGGAAUAUAUAUUUUUUCUUAUAUAUAAAAAAAAACGCUGAACAGAUUGAAAAAUGAUCAGCUCAGAGUCUAGACAGUUUUUAACAAAUGUUUUAUGUUGAUACAGAAACAAAUUCUGAUGACACCGACAGUCAAAUUCUGAUGACACAGAGAGUCUUGAGUAAAGCGUAGGAAGGCUUGAUUUACCAAUGGUGUUGGGAAUAUGUAGACAGAUGCAUAGACAGAUAUGUACUAACACAUGUAAAAAUAUCCUUACAGGCUCUAGGACCUCUUAAUGUAGUGCAAUUAACAUACAAUUGAUAACUGGUGUGCACAUGGCGUUAAUAACAAAAAAUAUCAGGUGUGUAACAGAAGUACCACAAUUCCAGAAAAUAAUAGUUGUCGUUAUAUAAUUACCGAGUUUGUAUAAAUAUAGCUGUUUUCAUAUGAAAAUCAUUCAGGUAAUUCUAAUUUUGCAUACGUUGGGGACGUUGAGGAAGGACUGGGAGGAUAAACCAGUUAAUCAAUUGUUUUCAUUCGCGAUGUACCCAGCUGUACAACCAACGUGGUUGUGUCAUUCUGAUUAAUACUUUUCUCGGACUUUCUAAAAAGGUGGACACCAGAAAAUUCUCUUGUGACAGUGGUCUUAAAUCAGGUCUGCCCCUCAGAAUUUAGGAUUGUUGGCAAGUAUGAUUAAUUUUGGAAAUCCAAAAACAGAUGACAGAUCGAAGGUUCUAUGUCCACAUUCGGAGUCAGUCCAAAUACUGGAACAAAUUGGUUAACACUUGAUUUCUUUACCUACUUAGUGAAACGGAUUGUAGAAGUGGUGCUUUUUCCUAUUUAUAACAGCCAUACAGGAAAAUGGAGGUGGGAACACUCUUUCUAAAUACUCAGCAAACCUAGUCUUUUCCUGCAUGCAAGCCAGAACUGGGGGGUAAUGUGUAGGGGGUGUUUGAAUUUUAUCUGGCAGCCAUAGACCUUUUGCUGGUUCACAAAUGAAUAGUACUUGGGAACAAAUUCCUGAAAUGUGGGAUUUGUGGUGUACAAAUAUAUCAAAGAAGGUCAAAUGUUACAUAUAUUCCAGGACUUGUUCCAAAUGAAACAUAGUAGUAACUGUAAUUAAAUGAUAAUCUGUUGUAAAAAAAAAAUAUUAUAUAAUCAUAUUUAUUUUUAAACAAAGUCUUUAAUGCCGUAGUUAACUAUUCUGUUUCCGGAGACAGGCCAAUAGCAAUUUGGGCUACUGUGCGAAAUCUGCCCCGUGGUCCCUCUGAAAGGCAUUAUACACACUUCAAAGGGACAUUCUGGACUCCGAUUUCUAAUAUAUUACAGGGAUAAUGCAUUAAAAGUAUGCAACAAAUAAAAAGAUACUCACCUUGUUUUGGUCACUUCUAUAGUGAGCUCUCAUCAAAUCAGGAAGUGUCUUAAGCGUCUUAGACUCUGCUCACUGCAGUGGUGAUGGUGUAAUGACUUUUUGUUUUCAGUCUCCUGGUUUGCAUUAAAACAAUUUUCAAGUGAUUUGAGGAAAGCUGGGGCUCUUCCAUCAUGUAACAUUUAUCCAUCUGCUGCAAAUCAACUUAUGUUGAACUGAUCCAACAUCGGAUUGGCUUUCGUAUACGGAAUAAACCUUUGCUUAAAUAUCUCCCACUCUUUCUCCAAAUUCCCCACAAACCUGAGCUCUGGGGGUGGUUUGAGGGUGGCAACGCUGUGCAAAGUUCCCUUUUCCUGUGCAGGAGAAUUCUGGCUUCUAGACUUUUUAUACUGUGGCUCUAUGUAUCUAUUUAUUCCCUUAAAAAAAGAGCUAUGGGUAAAGCUCCAGAAAAUGGCAAAUUUUAAGCCUCAAUAGGAGACAUCACAAAUGUUUCCAAGUCAAUAUUUUUAAUUUGACCAUUAUAGCCUUAAAUUUUAAAUUCUAUUUAAAUUCCAGACCAUUCACACUUUAAGUGAGUAAUAACUCCAACAGUUUUAUGGAGCUGAGCAUUUUGAGAGUUGAUGUACUAGACGCAGGGAUAGGCAACCUUCGACACUCCAGAUGUUGUGGACUACAUCCCCCAUAAUGCUGGCAAGGCAUCAUGGGAGGUGUGGUCCAAAACAUCUGGAGUGCCGAAAGUUGCCUAUGCCUGUACUAGAGCUUUGGCUUGUGUGGGCAAUUUGAGCUCUGUGACAUGGUUUUAUAAACCUCGAUAUUUGGACAACCCAGACACAUCCCCAGGUAAGAAUGUCCUUACAGGCUCUAGGAUGGUGAUAAGGUCUUCUAUAAUGUAGUGCAAUUAACAUACAAUCGAUAACUGGUGUGCACAUGAAGUUAAUAACAAAAAAUAGCCCGGGCUGGAGAUAACCCAUUGUCACGACUGCUAGUGUGGUCCAACAUGCAGAAACUUUGUAAGCAUAUGCAUAGAAAAUAAAAAGGAAAAAAAGGAUAGAACGUAAACCGGUCCUUAGAAUGGCCGGACUAAUACGUUAGAGAGAGAGAAUGGUCAAAGGGAAAGCUGAGGUCAAGGAAGCCAGAAAUACACAAUACCGUUUAAACAAGCCAAGUCAGGGAGACCAGAAAUCGGAAUAACAAGGAAUAGCCAAGGUCAAAAUAGCAGGAUAUCAGAAUCACAAGGAUAAACGCACUCUCGGAAACCAGGAACAGGAAACCACGACAGGGCAAGGUACACGUUCGUAUAAUUUUGGGGGGCGGAGCCAUCUUGGUUGUUCCCGAGCACCGCAGAGGAGCAGUUCCCGGCUCGCCGCUGAGCAGGUGGACUCAGCAUGCUGGUGCGGUCAUGCCGCCCGGGCACAGACGCGCAUCACGGCGAGCCGGGAGCCGUGACACCCAUAUAGUAAUGCAUUACUUAGAUCAUGUAUUAAAUACAUUAAAAAAAAUUGAAAAAAUAAAUACUCAUCUUUGAAAUUUAUUUCAAUUCCCAGGGAGGUCCAUUCAUUCAAUGGCACACUUUGAUUGGUAUGGAGUACAUCACUGGUACACCCCCUGCCUUGGCCAUUCUCCUUUACCUCCUACAUACAUGUGGAUAAAGUUCUGAAAUAUACUGCUGGUGUUAAACGCUUGUUAAAUCCUCUUACUUUUAAAAACAUAAAUAAGUAUUUUUUUGCUGAACAAUUUUCCAAAUGUCAGCUCAAUACUACCUUCAGACUCCUGAACAGAUUAUCAUUAAUAUUAUCAGAUCUUUUAAGUGGCAGUGAAAUUUAAAAAAUGAUAAAACAAAGUGAUAAUUCAAGCAAAUUCUAAAAUGUACUUUUCAUAUAGUGGUGGUUGCACCCAACGGUACAUUUUGGAAUAUUACCAAGUAUGUUCCCACUCAGUUUUGAAAUGGAAAUUUGUGAAUAUAACCAUAAAAAAUGCAAGUGGGUUUCAUUAACUGAGCACUGAUUUAUUUCCUAUGGAAUCAUUAUAGGUAUAUGAGCCUGACAGUAAUGCAUAUUGCAUUUUUGCAUCUUUGGUGAUUUGUCCCAGUUACUGGGUGUCCUGCAUCUGGGGACACCUAGGACACUGGGACAGGAGCCCGAAAUUAGGACAGUCCUGCCAGAAGCUGGGUUGUUGGGAGGUAUGGUUAUAUUGACUCCGUAGUAUUUCUUAAAAUAUUUAGGGAGGUAUAUAAAGCGAAUUGCAAAAUAACUAGACAUUAACAAAAAUGUACCACUAAUUAGCAUGUGGCACUAGUAAAAGUGUAUUAAUUAAUAGUGUGCAAUCGUAUUCACAAAAUUGAACUAUUUUAGAAUAUUAGAAAUUAUUGGUAUUAUUAUAAUUUUAUUAUUAUAGUUAUAUUUACUAUAUCCCUAUAAAGUAUUUAAAGCAAAAAUAGGAAACAUAAGGUGGAAUAAUCAAAGAUGUGACUCUUGUACAUACACACACAUGUUUUUGUUUUUUCUGCUCUGGCUAGUUAGAAAACGCCUCCCUUUAACCUAUUUAAAAAACAAAACAAAAGUUUCCUGAAUCACAUAGCUUAAUUAUCACAUCACAUUUAACACGUGAUAAAUGACAGACCAUUUAUAUUUUUUAAAGUAUUUUGCGCCUUUUGAGGAAUUUGGGAUUAAAAAAAACAAACAAGUUAUUUUGCACCGUAAUUAAUUAUAUUGCCCAAUUGCGUCAAUUUGUGCUGUAAAAUACAAUGCAAGUUAUGAAUGGCAAUUAAAUCUCUUGACAGGACACCAAUUACUGCCCCUGAAUGGCCUUUAAGUCCCGACCCACAAAGGUUAGACUAAGCAGUGUGUGGUUUUAAACAAGCCAACAAGAUCCUUAAGAAAAAAGAUGUGUAUAUAAUGAGGAGAAAGACCAUAGCCUAGUAUUUUAUAACAGGACAUGGACAUUCGCUGCUAAAGAGGUGGACUCUGCAGAGGGGGCCCAUAAACUGCUUGGAAAUCUAAUAAGGGGUCAUAACCUCCAGACAUGGAGGAAAUAAAGCCAAGAAAAGAGAAAACAGACUUUUCUCAAUGGCUUGCUGUCCGCUGCUCAGACCAGAGAGAAUGUACUUUAGGGGAAGAGGUCUGCACAUGUUCUCAAUGAGUUAAUUCAGAUCAGAUCGCGUUUAUGUAUCCCAUUGAAUUUGCUGAAUAUAUCAUGCCCUGACUGCACAAUGCUGUCGAGAAAAGGGGAUUUCUAAAGUUAGCCUCGGCCAAAUGCAGCACAUUUUCCGUUUUCCUGGUCGGAGAUCCGAGGGAAGAACUGUGUACUAAAUCAGAGAGCAUAUGGACAAUGCAGGCUAACAGAUUUAGUGUGACUGCUUGGUGUUAACCACUUACAAACCAGAGCUCUGAAACAUGAACAGGGUGCAAUGAUGUAACAGAAAGGGUACAGACCCAAAAACUGUUUGCAAAAUGUUUAUUUUCUGUAGAAUGUGUAGCAUUUGACGUUAAUGGCCUCAGAGUCCGAUUUUUAUAUGUAGCAGCCAUGGAUCCAUGGAUAGACUUUGUGGUCUAUAUUGCUUGGACAAGAAGCAAACCUUCGACCACAAAAUGUAAUUAUCUGGUCCAAUUGGUGUGUGCUUAUACUGAGUUGUCAGGUAGAAAACUUAAACCAGGCUUCCCCAAACUCCGGCCCUCCAGAUGUUGCUGAACUACAACUCCCAUGAUUCUAUGAAUGAAAUAUAUAGGCUGAGAAUCAUGGGAGUUGUAGUUUAGCAACAUCUGGAGGGCCGGAGUUCGGGGAAGCCUGACUUAAACAGUCUAGAAGCAGCAUCCUCCAUUUGUGGUCACAUUGAUGCUCUCAGUCCAUAAGGUCUUUUUCACCUCUUGUUUCUGUUAUAUUCUGUAUGCAACUAACUUGCUGUCAUAUAUACUCAUUCUAUAAUUGUACAGUGCUGCGGAAUAUGUUGGCAAUAUAUAUAAAUGCUAAUAAUAUGUUCACAUAAUCAUGAACAGUCACAAACAGUCAUUUGAAUAUCUUCUCCUCUGUUGCAUAUUCUAUUCCAACAUGAGGCCACCGGAACAUAUUUCGAUCUUAUCCAUCAAUUUCUUUUAAGAAACAGAGGUCCAUGUUUGAUUGAUAAACCCAGGUUAUUGCUCCUGGUGUUGCACCUCUCUGUGACAAGGGAUAAAAUCAACAAACAAGGUUAGAUAGUGCAUGCGCAAGCGUACCAUUGAAUGCAAGUACGCAAGCUGUAAAUUAAGUCCUCUGCAUGUGCGUGUCUGCACAAUGCUGGUUUUCUGUUUUUUUUUAGAAUUAUUGUGCCAGUACAACAUACAAUACUUCAUAAAUGGUACCACCCAGGCCCUUUCUCCCAAUUUUUUGUCAGCCUUCAAAAUUCUGCAAAAACUUUCUGAAUGUAUUGCCGUCUGUCCAAACUAGAAAAUAUAAAAUACUUUAUGUCGUACAACAAAUAAAAGUGAAUAUAUUGGACCAACUCAGGUACUCUGAAUACCUACAAUCAGUGCUCUGGCUUCCCCUUUAAGGUUUGAGUUAAAACACACACAUGUACCAGCAGCCUUUAUUAUCAUAGCUGUUGUGUCUCUUUAAAACUGCCCAAUACAUCUCCCUCUAGAUGGCUGAGACACCAUCUACGUGUAAUAAGCAAACAAUGGGAGUUUUGCUGAUAUUGUGGAAUAUUAGGCUACUUUUAGAAAGUUGUCCAUUUAAAGCUGAAUAGAGAUUCUGCUGGCCACUAGCAAGCAUGAUGUCACUCUUAUUUUCAUUUUUAACACUUAUCCUCCUGGAAUCAUUACGUGAUCUUUACUCUUCUGAAUAUUCCAAAAUUCUGCAAACUAUCCGUUCUUCUCCCAGCUGGUUCUGGGAAGGACAGUUCUAUCCAUGUUAACAUCUUUUCCUUUGUUAGUGUUACCUAAUCCAAGCUAUCAGCAGAGGAGUGCACUGUGACUCCAUAUAAGGACGGGGAAACCGGGUCUGCAACAGAACGCUCAGGGAUACUGAGGAUUUAUAGAGAGGUCACGUUCAGCCUGAUCCGUGUUUGACAUUUAUCAUUAAUAUAACCAGACCUCAAAUUACUUUCUAUGAGAACCAUCAAUGAAAGAAACCCAAUCGUGUAGGCAGACAUUUUAAAAGGCCCCCCAUCACCUUCCUUCUCCAUAAAAUACACACAAUAGGAAACUGUGGGUAUUAUGUCCGACCAUGCUUUAGCGGCAGGAUAAUGUCCCUUGCAUGGCACCCUUUCUUCCUCUUAAAUAGAAUAUUUCUCCAUUAUUAUGUCUGCUGGUGGAUUUGCCGAGCUGUGGUCCUUUUGAACUGUGUGGCAGCUGCUGGAGCAGAAUAGAGACCUUUUUCCUAAUGGCGCCACUGACCUUGGAAAUCCAAGUGCUUACUUGAAGAAUCCCCCCCCCCUCCUCCCCGAUGGAUCAUAUUCUUUGUAACUUCACAAAGCAAGAAGCUCAAGAGAGAGGGGAAUGUGCUGUUUUGCAUAUCAGUGCUGUCUUGGAACAUCUUGAUAUUUUGGAUAAAAAUGAGGUCAUAUUAAGUGAUGUCAUUGUCAUUCUGCCCCAGUGUUUUCUCACAAAGACCCUCUUAUUGUGUCAGUGACAUGUUGGCCUUGCAUUCCCUUUACAUUCCUACAACCCACACCACUGCGCUCCACAAAGACAGGCUUCUGUCAGGCUCCUGCACAACUCGUGUGAAAGGCCCUUGUUGACGACCAUGGCUGUCCUCCUGCUUCUGGAAUCCCAAGAAUCAGAUACUAUAAAGACGGCCUGUGACUUUCGACAGGCUUUAAUGGCAACUCAUUAUGUACCUCAUUGUUUGCCACGUUAUUAUUGUAAUUCCUCAGCCAGCCUAUAAUUCAGUGGAUUCAGGUGAUGGAAGCUGAUUUAAUUUGCUGGGCAUUCUUUCCAGUGCUUUAUUCUGGUGUCUUGUUGAGCAGAUGUUAACGCAUAACUGGGAAGGCGGCUGGAGGAGAUGCAUAUUUACCCAGCAUUAUUAGUUGGGUGAUGCCUCCGAGUGCCGCCUAAUGAAUUCUUUAAUCCUAUUGAAUCCAGUAGGUCUUGGCCUGUCCGUUCCUGCAUGCUAAUGCUGUACGUUUGUUAGAAAGGAUUGCUAAGUUCUUGAUCUGUAGUUAUCUAUUUAUUUUAGUGAAUGUGGAAUUGUAGCAGUUAUGGUGCUUUGCUCACAGUGAUACAUUGUUUCACAACUCCCUAUAUCCUUAUAUCCAGCAGCUCUUGUCUCUCAGCGUCAGUCCGAUAGCUAGGUGUCAGUGACCCACCUCUUCUCCAGGUCGGACUGAUCAGUCUCAACCUAGUCAUGGUCAUGGUCAAAAAGCCUGAGGAGGGAGAGAAAGCACAAACGCCAGGAUGUAUUCCCUAUGUUUGUUUUAGGAGAUGCAGCUGCUGCCACAAUUCAGUGCAGCGUCCUGCUGUUAACAAGCCGGGGGCAGGUGGCUUUAUACGCAUACAUACAUACACAAUCAGCCAUAUAUACACAAUACAUAUACCUACCUAUACCUAUAUAGUUAUUUCAUUACCCAUUUACACAUUCGUCACACAUGAACACAUAUUACUCUUAUAUAAAUAGUCCUUUUGACAUUGCUCAUACAUAUAUAGUUGCACAUAUUGCACACACAUAUCUAUGCAUUUCUGUGUAUAUACAUUCAUAUAAAUUGCAUGUAUAUCUGUAAGGAACAUGCUUAAUUGUUGGAAAAAUAGUACAUGAGAUGAAGGUUCCACAAGCACGUGCAUUUACUCUGACUAUACACCCUGACAACACCCUGACAACACCAAAUACAUACACACAGUGACAUAUACACACCUUGCACCCACAGACACACACUGGCACAUACAUACACACACUGACACACACACAUACACACCCAUAUACACACACACAUACCCAUACACACACACCCCUUCUUCACAUUCAUUUGUACACACAUGCACCUCACACAAAUAAUUCCUUGCAUUCACACUCUCCAGCAGAAAAUGCAACUGACACUGCCCACAAAAACAUCCCAUUUGAUCCCCUGCUGAUUUUGAACGUUUGCCCACUGACAAAGAAAUGAUCAGUCUAUAAUUUUAAUGGUAGGUGUAUUUUAACAGUGAGAGACAGAAUAACAAAAAAAAAUCCAGAAAAAUGCAUGUCAAAAAAGUUAUAAAUUGAUUUGCAUGUCAAUGAGUGAAAUAAGUUUUUGACCCCUUUGACUUAGUACUUGGUAGCAAAACCCUUGUUGGCAAUCACAGAGGUCAGACGUUGGCCACCAGGUUUGCACACAUCUCAGGAGGGAUUUUGUUCCACUUCUCUUUGAGGAUCCUCUCCAAUUCAUUAAGGUUUAGAGGCUGACGUUUGGUAACUCGAACCUUCAGCUCCCUCCACAGAUUUUCUAUAGGAUUAAGGUCUGGAGACUGCAGGACCUUAAUGUGCUUCUUUUUGAGCCACUCCUUUGUUGCCUUGACUGUGUGUUUUGGGUCAUCGUCAUGCUGGAAUACCCAUCCACAACCCAUUUUCAAUGCCUUGGCUGAGGGAAGGAGGUUGAUGGUACACAGCCCCGUCCAUCGUUCCUGUAAUGCAGUGAAGUUGUCGUGUCUUAGCAGAAAAACACCCCCAAAGCAUAAUGUUUCCACCUCCAUGUUCGACGGUGGGGAUGGUGUUCUUGGGGUCAUAGGCAGCAUUCCUCCUCCUCCAAACACAGUGAGUUGAGUUGAUGCCAAAGAGCUAGAUUUUGGUCUCAUCUGAUCUCCACACUUUCACCCAGUUCUCCUCUGAAUUAUUCAGAUGUUUAUUGGCAAACAUCAGACGGGCCUGUACAUAGGCUUUCUUGAGCAGGGGAACCUUAUGGGCGCUGUAGGAUUUCAGUGCUUCACGGCAUAGUGUUUUACCAAUUGUUUUCUUAGACACUAUCGUCCCAGCUGAAUUGAGAUCAUCAACAAGAUCCCCCCGUGUAGUUCUGGGCUGAUUCCUUACUGUUCUCAUGAUCAUUGAAACUCCACAAGGUGAGAUCUUGCAUGGAGCACCAGACCGAGGGAGACUGACAGUUAUUUUGUGCUUCUUCCAUUUGCGAAUAAUCGUACAAACUUUGGUCACCUUCUCACCAAACUGCAUGGUGAUGUUUUUAUAGCACAUUCCAGCCUUGUGUAAGUCUACAAUCCUGUCCCUGACAUCCUUGGACAGCUCUUUGGUCUUGGCCAUGGUGGAGCAUUUGGAAUCUGAUUGACUGAUUGCUUCUGUGGACAGGUGUCUUUUAUACAGGUAACGAGCUGAGAUUAGGAGCACUCGCUUUAAGAGAGUGCUCCUAAUCUCAGCUCGUUACCUGUAUAAAAGACACCUGGGAGCCAGAAAUCUUGCUGAUUGAUAGGGGAUCAAAUACUUAUUUCACUCAUUGACAUGAAAAUCAAUUGAUAACUUUUUAACCUGUUUUUCUGGAUUUUUUUUUUGUUAUUCUGUCUCUCACUGUUAAAAUACAUUAAAAUUAUAGACUGAUCAUUUCUUUGUCAGUGGGCAAAUGUUCAAAAUCAGCAGGGGAUCAAAUACUUUUCCCCCCUCACUGUAUGUACUGUACAGAUGAUAUUUCCCUGACCGGGAGUUUGUCUCAGCUAGGUGUAGACCAUUCAACUCAUCAUCAUCUUCCUGUUGGGAAUCUGCCUGCAUAUAAUACAUCACCAAACAUCUAUGGACAGCUGAGUGGACUGGAGACCCAUCCUGUUUAUAUCUCUAUGGAAGCUUGCAGUCAUGGUAGCCUCAAUCUAUAGUAUGGAUUGCUCUGCCAAACAUUUUUUUCCCCCAUAAUUUUCUGUUUUUCUUAAUGUUUGGCUUUGGACAACGUAUACACUUGACAAUCAAUUUGAGGGUUAUUCUCAAAACGCUGAAUUUAGUCAAAUUGAAUCCAAAGUGCAAAACAAAGGCUAAAAAGGCAAUCAGUGAGUAUCACUAAGUUAAAGAAUUACUGUGCAUGACGUAUUAUUAUUAUUAACAUUUAUAUUGCGCCAACUUAUUUGGCAGAUCUUUUAUAAUGCUGUAAGUGGGGAUUUAAUGACCCAUGUAACAAGCUAUUACAAAUCUAGAGGACGCCGCUCCAACCAAAAAGCUUACAAUCUAGAGGACAAAUGCAUCUGGGCCAUUUCGAGAUGUUCAGAGUAUAAUGUAUAAAGAUAUAUUUGCAUUAUUUAACGUUGAGUAGGUUGAAGUAAGGUUAUAUUUUAGAGAGACAAUUCUGGCAGCCAUGUUACUUCCUCACCACUGUGUCCCAUGUGUGAAGUUUCUCACAAUUAAGGAUUAGUGCUUCCUGGGACUUUUCAUUACAGACUGUUAUUGAUUAGCCUCAGAGGAGCAAGGAUUACCAUCUAAAAUCUGUCUAUUGGUUCAAUUUGCUCUAAUAUUCCCAAAGAUGAACUGCAAUUAAUCCACUUUGAAAGCAAAAAUCAAUUAAUGCAUAUUUGUACUGUGAAGCAUAUUGGAUAAUGAAUUCCUAAUAAUCUGUUUUUUUUUUAACUAUUGAUCAAAUCAGACUAAUAUAUACUGAACUCGUUUUUUUCUGUAACACAGGGGAUACUGAUGAUUAAUUGGUUUUCCCACCAGAUGGGAAAAGCCCAUGUUAAAUAAUACUUAAAAAGAUUGUAGGAGAUAAAAUAUGAAAUUAAUAUAAAAAUUCCAAAAAUGUUUGCAUUUAUAAUUAUUGCCUAUUAAAUAAUUUAAAGACAUUUAACAUGUAAUGAAUGCAUUGAAAAAUUCAAAAAAGUAAAUUCAAAAUAAUGUUAAUUUUUAUUUACGUCAAUGUUAUUAGCUGUAUUUAUUAACAUUAUCUGUAGAAUAUGAGGCGGAUGGAGGUAAUAGUUCUGCAAGUUUUUGUUGCUAACCAUUUGAUGAUAUUUAGAGUUUCAGAACAUAUACGUUAUAUAUGGAGCAUUGAAGCCAUCGGAAUCUUGUUACAGGCUGUGAAAUUCUCUAGGACAAGCAUGUUAAACUCAAAGACUAACAAGGGCCAAAUAAACAAGGCUUAAGUUAAUGUGGGCCACAAAAAAACAAAAAAUUUAAUUUUCAUAGAAACAAAGGUUUAUUUUGAAAAGUACAAUAUAAAAAAAAUUGCCUAACUGGCACUGGACGUCCUCACGUUCGUAGGGCUUCAAAGUAAACAAAAGAGCGAAUUUAUUUUAAGGAGAUAUGUAUUUGCAUAUACCCAAUGUUUCAGUCCAACUACCUUGACAUAUUAAGAAAUGUUUGGUAAUGGGAUUGAAAUGGUGAAUGUAUGCUGUUGCACAGUUGUAAAAAAACAAAAUACGUUAUCGUAUUGAUUUUGAAGUCCUAUGAGUAUGUUCUUCACUUUGGCUGAGAUCAUCAAACUUGAGAUGAUCUCAGCUAAUCCAUAGGAAAGCAUUUGAAAGCUAUUGUGCACAUGUGGCAAAAAGCUGCCUCCAUGCAGACUCAGUCUAAUACACUGCCCCCUCCUCCCAUUCUAAUACACUGCCCACACAUUUAAUACAUUGCCCCCAAAUUCAAUACACUGCCCCUCCACCAAAUCUAAUACACUGCCCCUUAAUCUAGUACACUGCCCCUCCUCUCUCCACUCUAAUUGAAUACAUUUCCCCUCCUCCCAGCACUCUAAUUUAAUACACUGCCCCCUUCCUCCCUCCCCCAAUUUAAUACACUGCCCCCUCCCUCCCCCAAUUUAAUACACUGCUCCCCCAAUUUAACACACUGCCCGCCUCCCACCACUUACACUGCCCCCUCCCUUCCCCAAACUAAUACACUACCCACCCCCCAAUAUAACAUACUGCCCACCUUCUACCACUCUAACACACUUCCCCCUCCACCACUCUACUACACUGCCCCUUCCUUCCCCAAAUUAAUACAUUUACCCUCCCCAAAUUUAACACACUACCCCUCCCCCAUUUUAACACACUGCCCCCUCCCACCACUCUACUACACUGCCCCCUUCCUUUCCCAAAUUAUUACAUUGCCCUCCCCCCAAUUUAACACACUGCCCCUUCCACCACUCUAAUACACUGCCCCCUUCCUCACUCAACUUAAUAUACUGCACUCCUCCCCAAUUUAAUUACUCUGGCCCCCUCCCUCCCCCAAAUUAUUUCAGUGCCCCCUCCCUAAAAUUAAUACACUGCCCACUCCAACCCCCAAUUUAAUGCACUGCCCCCUUAAAUUAAUGCAAUGCCCCCCUCCCCAAUUUAACACACUACACAGAAAGGUCCCCCAAACCUCUCUUCCCCUACCUUAAGACGAGUUGCCUGUUUUCCAGUUCCAGCCCUGCUCUUCUUUGCUCAAGCAGGCCUGACGCUCCUCUGACACUGCGAGCAGGAGGGAAGGGGGAGUGGCUGGCCUGCAGGAGCACACGAUCGUCUGUGGGAGGGAAGGGAGAGUGGCUGGCCUGCAGGAGCACGCGAUCGGCUGUGGGAGGGAAGGGGCAGUGGCUGGCCUGCAGGAGCACGCGAUCGGCUGUGGGAGGGAAGGGAAGUGGCUGGCCUGCAGGAGCACGCGAUCGACCGUGGGAGGGAAAGGGGAGUGGCUGGCCUGCAGGAGCACGCGAUUGUUGGGCAGGUGGGCCGUAAAUAUAUCCUUUGUGGGCUGCAAGUUUGACAUGCUUGCUCUAGGAGGUUAAUUGAGACCUAGCCUGGCACUGCACAUGUUGGUAAACUACAUUUCCCACAAUGCUUAGCCAGUAUAAAGGCUAAAGUAUAAAGAUAGUGAGAGGUACCUCAGACAUUUAUUAAAAACACUCUGGUAAGAUGCCACCAUGCCUAGACUGCAUCACUGGUGACACGUGUGGCUGUAAAGGGGGUGAUUCAUCAUAGCAUGUGCGCCGACUAGUCAAACUAAACUCAGGGUAUUCGGCCCCCAGGGAUUGGGUUUUCCCAGUGAGGCUGCCCAUCAGUGUGGUAUACACACAUACUAGGCUGGCAUUUCCCAUUUUCAGGAGACCUGCCCUUUCAUAUGGCCAAAUCACCGCCUUUCCGAAUUUUAUUCUUCUCAAUGUUGGGAGGUAUGGAGCACACUUAUAUGGGCAGACGAUAAACAAUUAGUAUUAUGGUGAACUGAUUAGUUAACCUAUUUUGGAGCCCAUAUAUGCUGAAUCUUAUUCCAUGUGUGGCUUAAUUCCCAAUGGUAUUCCGUGAGGAAUCGUUUAUACUAUCCCUUUGUGCAGCUAUGAUGCACUAGGAAAUAAGGACACCAGGUUAUGAUGUCAUAACCCAAAAGUGUUAUUAACUCACUGGAAGGAGCUUCUAGGCGUCAGAAGAAAACAUUUAUACCAUGAUUUAUACAGAUUGCUAUUUUUUCUUGUACAAAAUUGCCAUAAUGAUGAGUGCAACCAAUUACAAUCGAGAUGGGUAAUAACAUCUAAAUAUCAGCUUCCUGUGUUGUCCCGUGAGAAAUGUCCCCUCCCUCCUGGAAAAAUGCAGCACAAUUGCAUUAUUAAGUACACUACCUGCGUGAGAAUCAUGCCAAGCAGUGGCGUGAAUUGCAUCACUGGCAUGCCCCCACAAGAACCCAUUGCCACUCACACUGUGAUGUCAUUUGUCACAAUGUUGGGAAAUAAGGACACAUAAGCUAUGAUGCACUAGGAUAUAAGGACACCAGGUUAUGAUGUCAUAACCCAAAAGUGUUAUUAACUCACUGGAAGGAGCUUCUAGGCGUCAGAAGAAAACAGAUGUGUGCCAUGAUUUAUACAGAUUGCUAUUUUUUCUUGUACAAGAUUGCCAUAAUGAUGAGUGCAGCCAAUUACAAUCGAGAUGGGUAAUAACAUCUAAAUAUCAGCUUCCUGUGUUGUCCCGUGAGAAAUGUCCCCUCCCUCAUGGAAAAAUGCAGCACGAUUGCAUUAUUAAGUACACUACCUGCGUGAAAAUCAUGCCAAGCAGUGGCGUGAAUUGCAUCACUGGCAUGCCCCCACAAGAACCCAUUGCCACUCACACUGUGAUUUCAUUUGUCACAAUGUUGGGGGCUUUGAUGUAUAUGCUCCGAGCUGUGUGCAGGUUAGGGUAUUAAAAGACCACGGACCCAACCAAGUGCAUGGUAUUAAAAGCUACAUUUUAAGAAAAAGGUUUUAAAAGAAGCAAAAGUCACUUAAUGUCGAGGGGCAAAUUUGAUUAUCGGUGGCGUCCAUCUCAGUUUGAAAAAAUAUCACACUGUAAAUAUAUCAACGGGUGACCUUUCAUUUUAAAAAAUAGAAUUGUGCAAACAAUGACAGAUUUGUAGUGACCUUCAAAUCUAGUUUAUAACAGCAUAAAACACUUUUCAGUUUUUCAGUGUUGAGGUCAUUUUGGAGGAAGUGAUAGAUAAACACGAGAAUUUGCAUCCAAACUUCCAUUGUAUCUAGAGAACAACAGUCUGAUCCUAAGGAACUUUCUUGAAAGUGCUUCUAUUCUUCUGCAAAGUUGGCUCUGAGCACAGGAAAUCAUCAACAUGUUUUACUGUGAGAUAUAUACUUCAUUUUUUCCCAUCAUUUUAUUUUCUUUAAAUAAAGGACUAAAAAAAUGGCUAUUCACUAUCAUCAUCAUUCUGCUUGUUUCCCCCUACAAGUCUGCUUUUAAAAUGGCUGCUCAAUGUGUCAGCAAUGAAAAUGGUGGCGUUGCAAAGGGCAGUGCAUUCAUUAGAGUGCAGUGUCAUCACCAAUCACUGUUUUUAAUGGUAAUUGCUGUACAAAAUGGUCAGGGUACCCUGUAUCCCCUAGUCACUAAAUGUAUACACUAGGCUUAAAUGUACUCACUAGGGCCUAGUGUAUACAUUUAGGUUUAGACAGUUAGUUGAACUACAGUGAUUAGUGGAUGCUUGUUCAAUAAUAAUGUAAUCAUGGAGGCAAUGGUAUCUGAGAGGUCUUUUCACUACAUUGCAAAUUGAGGAGUUGAAAAGUGAGCUGCUAAAAACUUCCUGUCCGACUGUCCUGAGUUUGGUCUGUGAUGUCACCAGAGGAAUAUGCAUAACAAGUGCAGUGCAAGUGCAUUGUGCUGCACAAAAUGAACAAGGCAUUUGACCUGUACAUGAGCACUUCACCAGUGGUUUGCACGUGAGUAACUCUGACUGGAGUUGGACAGAAUGGCUCCUAAUAAGAAUAAGAUUAUCUCCCACAGGCCAAAAUGAGAGACUCUUCAUUGGCAGCACCUCUUCCUGGUGUGGGCAGAUCUGUCAUACCCCCUCUUAGUCCGUGAUGCUCCUCUUCCCCAAACUGAUGCCAAACCUCCUCCAUUUGAUGAAGCGUCCGUCAUUUGGCCAAUGCUGAAUGCACGUGUUUGCACUGAUGUCAUGACGUGAGACGCUUGGUUCCGCCCCAUUUUAGUAGCCCAAAUCACUUGUUAGCUAAACACAUUUAUAUAAUAAAUUGCUGAUUAGCUCAAUUGUUCCCCAACCAAUCAAAACACACUGACAUAACUUCCUUGCCCUGCCGUAGUCUUAGCAGCCCAAGAGUGCAUUAUAGUAUUCAGUGUUUUUUUCUGGUUUGACCUGGCUCUGUUAUUUCGACUGUUCUUACCUCUUGAAUCCCUGAUCUUGGCUUUGUAUACUCGAUUAUUCUACCUUCUCCUAUCCUUAACCUGUCUCCGAUUAUCCCCACUCUGAGGUCCGGUAAUUCGUACUCUAUCUUUUUAAUAAUUGCCUCUAGCUUGCAUGUUGGGGUAGUACCUUGGCAAGAUCUUAAUACUGCUGCUGCUUGCCUAAAUACUUGCAGAAAAGGCAAAAACUUUUUUUUUUUUAAAUGCUUUAUCUGUAAACUUUCAUCUUGGAGCGUCCCUUUAAUGAACCAGCACAAAAUUUAGGUUUGAAUCAUUUUGGCUUUAUUUACAAUAUACACAGUGACUAAACAUUUACAGGGAAGAGAAAAAAAUAAGGUUUAUUUUUUAAAAACGAGUGUGAAUUUAGCAGAACUGAUAGGCUCAGCCUGGAUUUCACUUGCUUAACCGAGUUGACGUGAUGCAGUCCUCACACUCGAUAUCUCACGUGUGUGUGCUGACCUUUUUUACCUUAGUUUGUAUAGUUGCUUUCCAGGAAAAAUAUAAAUAAAUGAGAACUAUUGAACAAAUAAAAAUGUCAGACAGUCACACUAAAGAGAAAGGUUUGACCUUGGUAGGGGAGGUACUGAUAUGGUUCGGAACCCUGAGUAUUAAAACCAUAUCAGUACCGUUAAAGAAAUUCCUCAGCAUCGCCUAUCAGUGAUAUAUGCAGAUAUAUCAAACAACUACAAAAUACCUAAAAAAAUAAUAAUAAAACAUUACAUUUUUAUUGUAUCUCUGACCAGUUUGCUUGCUUACAAACUUAACGAGACCGCUACAUUAGAUCUUGGUUCCCAUUUUGCAGACAAUAUUGUUUCUAAAAAAACCUGUAAUUAAAGGGUCAUUCUAGGCACCAUACUUUGAAUCAUUAAAUUGUUUAUGGGGAAGAGAGUACAUUGCAAUAAAAAAAAUCACAGCAGAUAUAAGAGUACCCACUGGUUCUGUACAGUUAAAGGAGACAUUAUUCGCUUUUGCUGUCUAAGAUUAAUCGAAUGUGUGGGUACACCAUGCACGCACAACUAGGACAAAAAUCUCUCAUCACCCCUGGAGAGAAUCUUAGCAACCUUCAUGAUAACAAACGUAGCAUGGCCACCUGCUUAUUGAAUGGAUCUGCAACUGGGGGAUAAUCGAGGUAUUCCAUACAAAAACCAACAGAAUAAGAGGCUUCUGAUUGAUGGAACCUCUUCCUGAUCUUAGAGUAGUGUGUCAGAAUCAGUGUUUAUCUGUAAAUGUGCUGGUUAUUUAAAUGUUUUUGUUUUUUUACAUAAUUUUUGGUGUAUUAUCAAAAUGAUACAUUCAAAAUGUGGGGUUACUUUCUUCCUUCUGUGUCCCCGUAAAUGACAAAAUAAUGAAAAUAUGAAUAAAAUUUAUAUUUACUAUACAACGUGCUUCUUGUGCAAAUAGUCUGAUUUUAUUUCUCUGUUUUAGGUGCCCCAGACAGUCCUUGAGUUUCUGUUUAAAACCAGUGGUUAAAGGGUUGUUCAUAUGUACUAAUUUUAUGCAUGUGUACUUACUUGUAUACAUGUACAGUGCUUCCCAUUUGAAUAGGAGCCUCUUUCUUCUGUAUAGCAAAUGCUGGGUGGAAUGGUUCCUAUUGGGUCAAUGGAAUGGGUAAUGAAAAUGUAUGAGUAAUAUUUUCAAUGGAGAAAAACUGCACUAGAAAGAGUAUUUCCACGUAAGUGUAUCUGUACUAUACAGGGCUUUGCAGGCUGUUAUUGCAGCUUGCAAAAUAACUCAUUGUAGUGUACUCAAUAUGCUCAGAGGCAGAGAAGGAGUGGCAUGGGCAAGUAAGUGCCUACUUGGGGGCCCCUAUCUGUAUAAGUGCUGCUGUGCUUGGCAGUUUGUGGCCCUUGCCUAACUGUAGGCUCGCAAGCGUACUACUGUGUGCUUUUUAUGGACGUUCCCGCUCUUCUCAGAGACCACCUCUCUUCUCCCCAAUCCCUAAAGUAGUCCCUUAAUAUGUAAUAUGAGAUGAAGGAAGGGGUGCUAUUUCGAAUUCCUCUGCAAAAAUGUAGAAAGACAAAGCAAGCCGUGGCUUAAAUAUGUAUUUCUCUGCAGAGUGAAAACCAGCAGUGGAGCAGAAGGAAGUAGACUUUAAAUGUAGCUUCAUAAGAUAAGUAUAAUUUUUGCAAUUCUG